rnacentral:rRNA from 1 species
CAUCCUUGAUCGGGAGGUCCGGGUAAUCUUUUGAAACUUCAUCGUGCUGGGGAUAGUCCCUUGCAAUUUUUGGACUUAAACGAGGAAUUCCUAGUAAGCGUGAGUCAUCAACUCGCGUUGAUUACGUCCCUGCCCUUUGUACACACCGCCCGUCGCUACUACCGAUUGAAUGGCUUAGUGAAUCCUUCGGAUUGGCUAUUUUUUUCUGGCAACAGAAUUAAACUGCUAAAAAGUUGGGCAAACUUGGUCAUUUAGAGGAAGUAAAAGUCGUAACAAGGUUUCCGUAGGUGAACCUGCGGAAGGAUCAUUAAAAAAUAUCGCUCGAUUGAGAGUGAUUUAAUAAUCAUCCUACCCUUUGUGAAUUUUGUUGUUUGUAAUAAUUUUUUUUGAUUUUAAAAAAAAAUUAUUUAUGGUUUUGUCUAUCCCUAAAAUUGGUUUGUUGUGAAAUGAAUCAAAUUUAGGGAAUAGGCUUUCAUAAAUAAGUUUUUUUUAAAGUCUUAAAGACCUUUUUUAAAAUUAAACUUUUGUAUUCAUUUGUCUAAAUUUUUUUUAAAAUAAUUUAAAAACAACUUUUGACAAUGGAUCUCUUGGUUCUCGCAACGAUGAAGAACGCAGCAAAAUGCGAUAAGUAAUGUGAAUUGCAGAAUACGUGAAUCAUCAAAUCUUCGAACGCAUAUUGCAC